rnacentral:rRNA from 1 species
AGAGUUUGAUCCUGGCUCAGAGCGAACGCUGGCGGCGUGCUUAACACAUGCAAGUCGAGUGCGUAGCUUUCUGUAGCAAUACAGGGAGUGGGCGCACGGCGCACGGGUGCGUAACACGUGGGCAACCUGCCCUUGGAUGGGGAAUAACCCCGCGAAAGCGGGGCUAAUACCGCAUAACAUUCCUGGAACCUUGGUUUCGGGACUCAAAGCCGUAAGGCGUCCGAGGAGUGGCCCGCGCACGAUUAGCUUGUUGGCGAGGUAACGGCUCACCAAGGCGAUGAUCGUUAGCCGGUCUGAGAGGAUGACCGGCCACACUGGAACUGAGACACGGUCCAGACUCCUACGGGAGGCAGCAGUGGGGAAUAUUGCGCAAUGGGCGAAAGCCUGACGCAGCGACGCCGCGUGGGGGAUGAAGCUUCUCGGAGUGUAAACCCCUUUCGACCCGGACGAAUGCCCCGCAAGGGGAGGGACGGUACGGGUAUAAGAAGCCCCGGCUAACUACGUGCCAGCAGCCGCGGUAAUACGUAGGGGGCCAGCGUUGCUCGGAAUAACUGGGCGUAAAGGGUUCGUAGGCGGUGCGGAAAGUUGGGAGUGAAAUCUCUGGGCUUAACUCAGAGACUGCUUUCAAAACUUCCGUGCUCGAGUGCGAGAGAGGCAAGUGGAAUUGCAGGUGUAGCGGUGAAAUGCGUAGAUAUCUGCAGGAACACCCGUGGCGAAGGCGGCUUGCUGGAUCGCAACUGACGCUGAGGAACGAAAGCUAGGGGAGCAAACAGGAUUAGAUACCCUGGUAGUCCUAGCCCUAAACGAUCAGAACUUGGGGUGCAUCCCGUUGGGGGUGCGUCUCGUAGCUAACGCGUUAAGUUCUGCGCCUGGGGAGUACGGUCGCAAGACUGAAACUCAAAGGAAUUGACGGGGGCCCGCACAAGCGGUGGAACAUGUGGUUCAAUUCGACGCAACGCGAAGAACCUUACCUGGGCUUGAACUGCACCGGGACAAAGGUAGAAAUACCUCUCCCGCAAGGGCUGGUGUAG